rnacentral:rRNA from 1 species
AUUGAACGCUGGCGGAAUGCUUUACACAUGCAAGUCGAACGGCAGCACGGAGAGCUUGCUCUCUGGUGGCGAGUGGCGAACGGGUGAGUAAUAUAUCGGAACGUGUCCAAUAAUGGGGGAUAACGAGUCGAAAGAUUCGCUAAUACCGCAUACGCCCUACGGGGGAAAGCAGGGGAUCGUAAGACCUUGCGUUAAUGGAGCGGCCGAUAUCUGAUUAGCUAGUUGGUGAGGUAAAGGCUCACCAAGGCGACGAUCAGUAGCUGGUUUGAGAGAACGACCAGCCACACUGGAACUGAGACACGGUCCAGACUCCUACGGGAGGCAGCAGUGGGGAAUUUUGGACAAUGGGGGCAACCCUGAUCCAGCCAUUCCGCGUGAGUGAAGAAGGCCUUCGGGUUGUAAAGCUCUUUCGCAAGGGAAGAAAACUUAUGAUCGAAUAAAUCAUGAGGUUGACGGUACCUUGAUAAGAAGCACCGGCUAACUACGUGCCAGCAGCAGCCGCAG